rnacentral:lncRNA from 1 species
AACUGGAGGUGUAACAAGCAAAAAGGCCAGAAAAAUUGAAGAGAAGAAGAAAAUCUGAAGCAGGCCCAGUCCAAUACGCGCGCUGAGCGCGCGUCACGCGCUAAGCCCAUGAUCCAACAGAAGCGCGCGCUAAGCCUGCAACACGCGCACUAAGCCCGCGAUCUAACAGAAGCGCGCGCUAAGCCUGCAACACGCGCGCUAAGCCCGCGAUCUAACAGAAGCACUCGCUAAGCCUGCAACAUGUGCUGAGCGAGGGGGUGUCGCGCUGAGCGCGCCUACGAAGGCCCAAAGCCCACUUCAGCAGCUAUAAAUAGAGAGCCAGUCCAAGGGACAAAAGAACUACGACAGAACCCCCUCUCCUAGGGGUUUCAUUUACUUUCUUUCACCCCUCUUCUCAUUGUAAAGCCCUCAAUGGCCAUGAGUGGCUAAAUCCCCUUAGCUGACAGGCCUAGAAGCCAAUGUGAUGUAUGAUGUACUCUUCACUAUUUAUCAAUGCAAUACCAGGUUUUUCUUUCCUAUUUUCUUUUCUGUUUUUACCUUGCAUACUCAUCUUUAUAUUCUGUUAGGGGUUAGAUGCUCGGGAGAGGGUAACUUCUAAAUAAGAUUUAAAGAAGAUAUGCAUGCAUUAGGUUUUAGGGGUUAGACGCUCGGGAGAGGAUAACUUCUAAUAGAACAAGAAGAAAAGAUAUCAUAAUAAAAUCAUUGCUAGGCAUAGAGUGAUUGCAUUAUGCCCAUGCGUCAAAGCAAACAUCUAGAAUUAGAACUUCAUGCAUUUUAUCUAUUGAGUCUUUGCAAAGGCAUUUGGGGGAUAGAUAGGUAAAAUAGGCUUGUCAUCGUGAGGCAUCAGGGGCAAGUAAAUGAAUAGAUGUGAGUGGGAUAAAAUCACCUGAAUUGGUAAAGAAAAAAUCAUAAACUCAUACAUCCUAGGCAGAUAAGGCAAGUCAGUUCCUAACACUAUUUUAUCUUGAAUUUAUCUUUUAUCUAAAUCUUUUAUCUUUCUUAUCUUUCAUCUUUUUCUUUAUCUUUUAAUUUUAUCUUUAAUUCUUUUAUCUUCUAAUUUUAUCUUUAAAUCUUUUAUCUUUUCUUUACCUUAUCUUCUAUCUUUCUUUAUCUUUUAUUUUAAAUUUCUUAUCUCUUGCUUUUAAAUUGGAUUUGCAUUAAUCUAAGUACAAACAAAGUCCCUGUGGAUUCGACACUCGGACUUCCGAGAACUUUACUACUUGUCACGAUUUGGUGCACUUGCCAACGAGUCAACACAUCUUUGAAAGCAAAACUUAAGGGCAAGAACUUUAUCACAUUGCAUUGCAUGGGGGAUUUGGUUCAAAGUUAUUUGGUGUAAUAUGAAUGUGUUAUACUUUUGCUUUUGUUUUUUGUGUGUGUUCUUUUUUGUUUUUUAUGGGUAGAAGAAUGCGAUGUACUUCAUUUGCCUUGAGCUUGCAGUUUUGAUUUAUUUAAUACGUAUAACUGUGGCAUAUGCUGUAUAAUAAUAAUAAAUGUUGUAUAUUUUUAAAAAUGCUAUCUAUUGGCCAAUGCUAAAAUAUAUAUUUUGUAUCUUAACAGUAUGCAGUUGUCUCAUUUUAUUCAAGGAGCUCAAUUCACGGUUUUACUUUCUAUUGUAGUCUAUUUAAUUAAUUUUCUAACCAUGUAACCACACCGUGACAUGGCUUUAGAAGCUGAGGUCCAAGGGCGUAAGUUUAAGAGCACAAUUAUUAGUAUAUUUUGACGGUUAAAUUAUAGUUAAAUUUAUAAUUUUUUUUCUAAUUUUUUUAAGCAAAUAAUGGUUAAAUUAAUAUCAUUUAAGUUUUUGUGCAAAACAUAUUAAAAGUGAUAGAUUUAUGAAACUUAAUGAGUAAAAUAAAGCUCAAAAAAGCAUAAAGAAAGCAAGCUAAUCGAAGAAAAUAAGAAUAAUUAUGAAAAAAAAGAUUAAUUGAGAAAAAAGAUUAAUUAAGAAAAUCAUUAAUAAUAAAGGAAAUCAAGCUAAAUGAGAAAAAAUGACUAAUUGAUGAAAGAAUAACUAAUGAAAGAAAGACUAAUUGAGAAAAAUGACUAAUUAAGAAAAGAAGACUAAUUGAGAAAAAUAAAAUAACUAAAGAAAGAAAGACUAAAUAAACAAAUCAGAGUCUAAAGUCCAUUGAUUAGCAAAAGAAGAAGAGAGAAAAAGAAAAUACAUAAAAAUUCCAAGAAAAUAUAAUUUCUUAUAGAAUGUAAAGGCUUGAAGGAGACAAGCAAUGAGAGUCAUUCCUUUCUUUUAUUCAUUUUCUUAUCUUUUCUUCCAUUUACUAAAUAUUUUCCACUUGUAACUCUAAAGCCUUCAUGAUAACGAGAGACUAAAUCUCAUUUAUUGAAAACUUAAUUGAUGGAAGCUUGCUUGUGGGGCUUCUAUGGAGGCUGAAUCUUUGAGCUUCAAUGAGGUCCUUUAAUGGUGAUUUUCCACCAUGGGGAUGCAGCGGAAGACAAAGGAGAAGAGGUGAGAGGAGGCGCCAUCCACUAGGGAAUAAGCCAUGGAAGAAGGAGCUUCACCACCAAGAUGAGCCUUGGAUAAGAAGCUUGGAGAGGGUGCUUCAAUGGAGGAAAAGAAAGAGGGAGAGAAAGAGAGAGGGGGGAGCACGAAAUUGAAGGAAGAAAAAGGGAGAGAAGUUGAACUUUGAGUGAUGUCUCACAAGACUCUCAUUCAUCCAAGUUACAACAAGUGUUACACAUGCUUCUAUUUAUAGACUAGGUAGCUUCCUUGAGAAGUUUUCUUGAGAAAACUUCCUUGAGAAGCUUCUUUGAGAAAACUUCCUUGAGAAGCUAGAGCUUAGCUACACACACCUCUCUCAUAACUAAGCUCACAUCCUUGAGAAGCUUCCUUAAGAAGAUUCCUAAAGAAGCUAGAGCUUAGCUACACAUACCUCUCUAAUAGCUAAGCUCACCUCCUUGAGAUGAGAAGCUAGAGCUUAGCUACACACCCCCUAUAAUAGCUAAACUCACCCCCAUGACAAAAAACAUGAAAAUAACAAAAAAAAUCCUUAUUACAAAGACUACUCAAAAUGCCCCGAAAUACAAGACUAAAACCCUAUACUACUAGAAUGGCCAAAAUACAAGGUCCAGACGAAGGAAAAACAUAUUCUAAUAUUUACAAAGAUAAGCGGGCUCAUACUUAGCCCAUGGAUUCGAAAUCUAUCCUAAGGCUCAUGAGAACCCUAGGGCCUUUCCUUGGAUCUGUAGCCCAAUCUACUUGGAGUCUUCUAGCCAAUGCCCUUGCGGGGUAGGAUUGCAUCAUUAAUUGUCAGCCAACUUUCUAUCUAUUUAUAAUAUUACAUUUAUAUGAUCCUUUCUUAUGUUACAUGGUAAGUUUUAGGGGUAGCAUUGAGAAAUAGUAUUUUCUAAUAGAACUGAGAAAUGUAUCUAAAUAAAGUUAUCACUAGAAAUAGGUUGAUAUUUGUUUAGUCUAUUAUGCAUCUUUAUUCUUAAUACAAUUUAUUAUUUUAGCUUUGCAAAGAUAGUUGAGAGAGAAAAUAGAUAAAUUAGACUACUUCUUUCAUGCUAGUGACCAAAGUUAGAGUAUAGAUGUAAAUUGAAAUAAUUAUAAAUAAAGAAAAAUUAUUAACAAUACACCAAAGAGUGACUCUACUAGGUUAAGUUUCCAACAUUCUCAUAUUCUGAAUUAAUCUUUUUAUUAUCAUCUUUAUCUUUUAUUUUUCUUAUCUUUUAUAUUAAAAUUUCUCAUCUAUCUAACCUUUAUCUUUUUAUCUUUAUCAUCUUUUAAUUUAAUUUUUAUCUUAUUUUUUAUCUUUUAUUUUAAAUUAUUUAUCUAUUACUUGUAAAUUGAAUUUUCAUUAAUCUAAUUACAAACAAAAUUCAUGUUGAUAUGAUACUUGAAUUUUCCUUUUAACUUUACUAUAUUUGAGAUGUAUUAAUGAAUUUGUCAAUCUAUCAACAAUAUAGGUUUUGCCAUAACAAAAGAUAAAAUCCUUUACCGAUAGGGUAUUCCCAAAUAAUGACAUAACUCAAGAUUACACCACCCAUAACACAAAAGAAUCCUCACGAAAUGCCUUUACCGAAAUAUAUUUUUAAUAUUCAAGAAUAAAUAUUUCAAAAUACAUCCGGUAAAUGGUUUCAGUUGGCUUAUGGGUAGGCUUUUUCAUAAACAUCAUGUUUCAAAGCUCUUAUAUAUGAAUAGGUUUCCACAGCACAAAAUAGUUUUUUUCUUAAGGAUAGGCUUUUCCAUUAACAAAACGGUCAAUGCCUAACGCAAAAUUUGGCCUAACAUGAACUGCAUAUUGACGGUUCAAUUCCAAUACUAAAUUAUGAAGGGUACUUCUAUGAUGUGAUGUUUUUCUUUUUAUUUUAAUCUUGAUGUGAACUAUUUAUUAGUUGUGAUAUAUAUAUAUAUGAUAAAAAUAAAAAUAACAACUACUUGGCUGCACUCUUACAAUGAUGGGUUAUUAUUGUACAAAUUUCUGGAUCCAAUUAAUAGAAACUCGCGCUUAUUAACCAUAUGUGCAGGUCAAUAUAUAACAUUCAUUUCUUUAAUUGAUUAAGAAAUCAUUGACAUAAACACGAUAUGGCUAGGAACCUUCAAUAUGCAUUGGAAUAUUGCUCACCUAAUAUGUAGCUGCCUGACGCAAUGUAUGACAGGGAUCUUAUAGUAUUAUUGACCAUAAUGCUCUUGUUUGGACGCGGAAAGAAAAUUAUUUGAAAAAUGAGAGUAAAAGAAUGACUAUUCAUGAGUCAUGAGGAAAAUAUUUUUCUAAUGCAAAUAGAAAUAUCAUGAGUAAAUUAGAAUAACUUCAUGUUGUUCGGUGGUUUAGAAAAGCUUUGAUGGACAAGUGAUUCCUAUUUAUAUAUCUUGUUUUAUUUUAUGACAAAUUAAAUUUAAAUGGGAGGAACUAGCUAAUAUAAAACGAAAACAAAAAAAUUAAAAAAAUGUGUUCAAUCAACCAUGAGCACUUUAAUCUUUUGCACAACAUUGACAAAUAUAUAUGUUGUUGUAAACCUUGAAUAUCAUAUGCUUGAUGCAUGACUUGCUAGAUUCAAUCUCAUGCACCACCAUUCACAUUAUAUGAUUGGUCACUACCCCUCAAGCCGAUGUUACGUCUUCAAUUGUAGCGGUCACGCUGGGUUCUGUUUCUAUUCCUGCGAUUAUUUCAGUUUAAGUGUUACCUAGGUUAUUGUAUUUGCCGGAUGUUGUUUCUUCUAGGGGGUUCGAGCCAUCUAUUAUUUGGCAAGUGUGUUAUGCCUUGGGAGCUAGGGCUAACUCUGUUAAAUGUUGUUUUAUGUCUUUCUCUAAUCCUGUAAUUUGUGUUGUUGCACCUCUGGUGCUAUUUCAAUGAUAUUCUUUUGGCUGUUUCAGAAAGAAAGAAAAAAUAACAAGGAAGAAAGUUUAUUUCUGCAUUUGCAUUGCAUUGAUCCUCUAAUUAGGUUUCUCAAAAUCUAAGCAUGUAUAGCAUUCCCAUAUAUAUUGUGAGGGAAAUAAAAUAAAAAAGAAAGUUGAAAUUAAGAAAAGACUACAAUAUUAGCUCGUUCUCGAUCUCUCCACGCAUAUAAAAUAUUAUCGUUUAGUCACAAGUCACUCGCACAACACUAUACUACUUAGACUGUACAAAUCAAAACCUGAUAUCUCUGUCUCAGCUUAUAUAAAUAUGAUACUUAGACUUGAAGAACAUCCAAAGCUGUCAAGCCAUACAGAACGAUACAAAAUUACAAUAAAUUAAGUAUAAUUGAAUAUACACACCUAGUGCCUUUGGAUCUUGGAAUUCUACUACCUACGUGACAUCAGUUACAGUGUAAGAAUCCAUUUGGAGGUCUAAGUUCACAUUAAUUUAUAAACGUUUCAAUUUUUUAUAUUAAAAUUUUUAAUCAUUUAAAAUUAAAUAUUUUUUUAUUAUAAAUUAUUAGCAGCAGGGAUAUACUCCCGUGUUGUCAAUGUUGGGCAGAACUCACACACACAUAAAAUAAGAUUUCAUUUUUUUUCAAUUAUGUAGACGUUUCUUUCAACCGUAGUUUGUUUACUCUUGAAUUUCGAGAAGAAAAAUGGACACCUUUUCCUACUCCUAAAUACUUUUAUAAAGAGAGAUCGAAUUGGCAACUUUACGCGUAAUGGGCCAUAAUUCAUACGAAGCUUGGUUCGUUAAAUCAAAUAAUUAUUCUUAGACUUUGUUAGUCAUAUUGCUUCAGUCAUAGAAAAUUAGGUUUCAGUGGUAUUUUCCUCAAAGACUGAUGAAUAAUAAUACACUUAUGAUCAAUUAAUUCAUUGAAAUGCCAAGUCUCAAAAUCCCGAAUUAUACUUAUGCAAAAUUACCUACUACCUUUUAGAGUCAUUUAAACCAUUAUUAACACGGCUUGGCUUAAUUUUCGCCUUCCGCCUACUAAAAGACUAUGACAUAAAAGGGGGAUAUUCAUCUACAUUCAGUGUUUAUAUAAAUCUUUCGUGUUAUGUAGCACUGCUCUAUACUUUAUACCAUAAAUGCACUUAACGAGUGCUUAUAUCAUUUGAUAAUUCCAGAUCUUUUUGCAAAUAUUAAGUUUUACUUAUUCAAUGAAAAAUGAUUAUUUAAAGUUAAUUAUUUAAAUAAUUUGUAAUCAAAAUAGAUUGUUAAAAUUUUAUAUUGUUAUCGAAUUGGUCUUUUAAUUACUAAAAAUUUAACCUGCAAUCAAAUUAGUCUUGGAAAUUUUAAAAUAUCACAAUACUAUUCAAAUUUAACUCAAAUUUAAAUUUUGUUCAUGUGUUUAUUUUAGUAUAUAAAUAAAUACGCCAAGGAACCGUUAAAUAUUUUGAUUACAUUGGUGUUUUAGGCAUGGUAGGACACAUCAUGAGGGUGUUUGGAAAUUAGCGAACUGAAAAAAAAAAGUUAACUUAAAAUUUAGUACCUAGGUGAAAGUUAAGUAUUUAUAUUUUAUUUUAUUUUUUAAGCAGCUGAAAGUUGAAUAUAAUUAGUUGAAAGUAGAUAAGUUAGUUACUUGAAUUUAAAAUAUUUAGUAAAAUUAAAUAUUAAACUAUCUGAUAAGUAUUAAAUAAUAUAGAAAAAGUGAAACACAUUAUUAUUUAGUCGUAACUAUAUUUAGUAACUAUAUAUACUUUUAAAUACCAUUAGUUUUAAUAUUUUAAUUUAUAUCAAAUGUGCAUCAUCUUAAACAUUAGGAUUAUUUUUAGUUUUAUUCUUAUUUUAAAUUUAGUAUUAAAUAAAUAGAUUCAUAUUAUAAUUUUGAUGAUUUUAUUUUACCAAGAAAUGAUAUUUGAUGAGAGUGAAAGAGAGUGUAUUAAGGUUUCUAAACAGAUAAAAAAGUUAGUGAUGAUAUAAAUGAGAAAACAAUAAUAGUUUAGAAAUUUAUAAAUUAAAACACCAGAGUGUUUUAAAAAAACAUUUUUAGUGAACUUUUUUUAUAUCAAAUUAAACUUUUAAAUUAACUAGUCAAUUAAGUUAUAAGAAGUUAACUGUUUCUUGUGGUAAAUAUGUACGAGCUUCUCCAGCAAGGAUAUAAAUUGUACUUUAACAUUCUGUGGGGUUAAUCCUUUUGUUACAACCAAUCCCGGUUGAUAAUUUUUCUAGCUGUUCAUUAAUACGCUUAGAUUUUAUUUUUUAACUUUUUAUAUUGGUGAAUAGUAUGGAGUUAAGUAGUGAAUAAUGUGUUGACAAUCAACAAUCAUUUCGUUAAUAAAAUAAUAUACAUUUUUUUAACUCAUUACGUUCACCCCGUUUACUAAUAUCGAUAUAAUGUUUAAGGAGGAAAAAAAGGCACUUCACCUUCCUUUCAGGUUCGCGUUUCUUGCAUGCUUGCCAAACUCUACAUCCUUUGUGCAUCAAUUUCACGAAAUCUAUUUCGUACCCAUUGGCCUUUCUCAUACCGAAAUAUAUACAAAAUUUAAAAUGGAAAGUUCAAAGUGAUAAAUUCAGGGUAUUUAUUCAUUAUGUAUUAUAUAAUAUAUAUAACUUGGCAUAACAAACCCAUGCAUGCCCAGCAGUACGAAAACCAUAAUGCAUGCAGAGGACAAAGAGUACAUAUGGAUCAGAUCUGAACAGUGCCUUAAAACUUUAUAAAAUAUAUAAAAAAGUGACACCAAAUUAACUGAUAUAUAUGUAUAUAUAUGGUGCUUCAGUGUUUCUUCCGUCCAUAUCAAUCUCCUUUAUUUGCACACGUUCUUCAUCAGAUCCUGAAAAACCACACGCGUGCACAUACCUUAUUAGUUUGUCACAAGUAGGGGUGGGUAAAAUUGAUGAACUAAACUGAACUGCUAAAAAAUUGAACUGAACUGCAAAAGCACGUAACUAAUUGAUCCCGCUAUCUACUUAUAUAACAAGGAAGUUUUCACAUUACACACAUAUAUGAAUGCAUCUUAUAAAAUGAUCAAGAAUUUUUUUGUACACCAUACAUACACUUUAAUUUUAUAUGAAUCUUACCAUGGGAUGAUAUACUAAAUCACUAUUUAGUAGUGGUAUGGGGGAGGUGGAGAUGAAUACUUGUAUGGUUUCUUAGGUGUUGGUGGAGGUGAAGGGUACUUGUAUGGAGGUGGAGGUGACUUGUACUUGUAAUCUGGUGGAGGAGGAGACUUGUACUUGUACACUGGGGGUGGUGGAGAUGGGUACUUGUAAGGUGGUGGUGGAGGAGAUGGGUACUUGUAUGGUGGGGGUGGUGAUUUGUACUUGUAAAUUGGAGGUGGAGGAGAUGGGUAUUUGUAGGGCUUUUUAGGUGGUGGUGGAGGAGAAGGGUACUUGUAGGGUGGUGGUGGUGACUUGUAUUUGUAAACUGGUGGUGGUGGUGGUGAUGGGUAUUUGUAGGGCUUCUCAGGUGGUGGUGGUGGUGGGGAUUUGUACUUGUAAACUGGUGGUGGUGGUGAUUUAUAUUUGUAGGGUUUCUCUGGUGGUGGAGGAGAUGAAUAGUCGUACUUGUCAUCAGCUGAGGUUUGAGAUGGCAAGCUUAGAGAGACUAUUAUUGCCAAUACAAGAGUAAGUGUAGCAUAGGCCAUUAGAGACCCCAUUUUCUCUCAAACUUCAAAAGGGGUUUUGGUUAUGCUGUUGGGAAUGGCAGUGCCCCCCCUUUAUAUAGUUUCUUUCACCACAUUAACACCACUAAUGUCUAAUUAAUCAUAUUUAAAGGUGUACAGUGAUUUCGAUAUAAUCAAAUUCGAAAAUCAGCCUCGGACACUCUAAGUCAAGUACACUUUAGAUCUUUUCAAUUUGAAAAAUCAUCCUGGACGAUCGAAGGGUAUAGACACUCACAGAAAGUAGAAGAAAAUAAAAUAAUGAUAUAAUUAGUAAUAUAAUAGGAUAAGAAAAGACCACUAUAAAGAAAUCAAAAGUGUCAAAUAGAAAUGUUUAAUUAUACGAUUUGAGUUCCUAAAAAUAAAGAUGCAUUCAAAUUUACCUUAUUGAAAUCUCUAAAUGAAUUUAAUUUUAUACAUUAUCAAAGUAAAGUAAAAAAAAGUUUGUUUUAUAAAAUACUUAGAAAUUAUUAUUGGUAUAUAUCUUUUAAGGUGAUUGUUAUAAAAGUCUUAAGAAAUUAUUAUUAUAUAUAAAUUCGUAUAAGAUUAAUGUAGUGGUUAAGGCUUCGAUAUGUUCAUAUUGAUGAAGGGAAUGAUUUAUUUAAUAGAUGAAUUUGUGUUUAUUUUUUCAUAUAUAAAAUUUUUUAAGAUCAAUGAUAGACACACAUCAUGAGUAAGAUUAACAUUUGAUCCAAUGGAUUAAAAGACAGUCGUGAUUUUUAACUCAGGAUUGAAAAAACCAUGAAAUUGAUAUAGUGAUGUAAGAUUUUAUUACAUUGACAUAUAUGAAAUGAUCUAUUUAGAGGGAAAAACCAUAUUCAAUUCUCUCCAUGUGCAAAAUUCCUUUGUACCAAUGGUAGUCAUGCAGUGUCAUCGUGAUCUCUAACCUAUUAGGUCUGGACGAUCAUACAUCUCAUCUAUCAUAGAUUUUGAUGUAUAAUAUAAGUAUAAAUUAUUGAUAUUAUAAUGAGUUUUUAAAUGGUGAGUAGAAUUAUUAUGUUAAAAGAAUAUCAUCCACAACUAUAUAGAGAAUGUUUUGUUUCAACCUAGCCUCCAGAACAUUAUAUUUAGUGAGUUUUCACUUUUGUGCAAAACAACAUAAUAUAAUGUCAUAAGAUAAAUUUGUACAUUUAGUCUCAAGGAUUUAGUAUUGCAAAAAGGGAAGUCCAUAUAUAUUGUUUUAUUCAAAUUCCAUUUGUUUUUAUUACGUGUAAAUAACUAAUAUUUGAAUUCAAGAAAAAAGACAACAUAAAAGAGUCUAUAAGACCUCCAAGGAGUAUCCCCUAGAAAAUCGCUUUCACAAAAGUCAAAAAACAUAUGAUGUUUCCUGCACUUCAUAUAAAUACUCGUCAUUUAAAGCUUGAUAUGUCGACCAACUUCUCUAUGUGAGAGAACGAUCCUUUCAAGAUAAGGAAACAAAUCCCACAAUGAAUAUCUCACUAAAGUUUAUAAAAGGAUGUCUCCUUCAAUGAAAUAGAAAACUUAAAAACAAGAAAGAAAAAAAAAAGAACAAGAGCACAAGAAAUAUUUAAAGAGAAACUCCAUUAUUCACACAAAUUUUACAUUAUUAUUCUUUGCAAAGCAAAGUAGUUCGUAUUUGUGUCUAAGUGUAUGUUUACUCUUUGAGUGUUAAGAGUACUUGUAUUUAAUCAAACUUUCGUUUGUAAAAAUCAAGAGUAGCUUUGUUAAAAAAUAUUUGGGUUUUUAGAUUUGGGGUCUAAGAAGAUACUAGAAGUGGUAUCAAAAACACUUGUAAAGUCAAGAGUGACAAGUUAAAAUACUUGUUUGUAAUAAAUUAUUGAUUAGUGAAAUCAUUUACUAAUAAAUAAAGGAGAAAUCCAUGUAACUCAAGUUGAGCAACCAGCAUAAAUCAAAUUGUUUUACUUCUCUCCAUAUUACUUUAUUAAGUAUUGUUAUUAUCUUUUUCUAACAUCAUUUUACAUCAAAUGCUUAUUUAAAAAACCAGUUUAAGAAACUCUUAUUUGUCACUUGACGAACACUUUGUUCAUUUUCUACAAUCUAUUUAUUAUUAGCACACGAUCAGUGUUUUUCUUUAUUUUAUCCAUAUUAUCUUUGUUAUUGUUAAAUUUUUUAUUUUUAAUAAACAUAUUAUUCAACCCAUUUUUGAUGUGUUUCUUAUAAUUUGAUAAUUGAGGAAAAAAAUAUUAUUAUAUAUAACUAUUAUAAUCCGACAAUUGUAUAUAAAAUUUGAGGACUAAAAUGAACAAUUAUCCACAUUUAGAGACUAAAAAAACUUUAAGUUUAACAACUAAAAAAAAUAUAAACCCCAAAUUAAGGAAUAACAUCGUAACCAAACCUUUUUUUAGUUUUUUUAUCAUUGACCUACUCAGUAAUGCUUGUCAUUGAAUAUUAUUGCCUUUAUAUUUAUAGUGAUUUUACUUAUAAUAUGUAAAUACACAUAUAUAUUUGAUGAUAAAAUUAAAAAAUAUUAAUCAUCUGCUAAUUAUAUUAAAUUGCACAAAGACAUUUGAAAAGUAUCCAUAAAAGAUAUAAAAGUAUCCUUAAUAAAUGAUCAAAUUUUGUGUUUGAUUUCUAUUAAAAAAAUUAGUCUUUGGUCUCUGAUAAGUUUUUUUUUUUACCUUAAAUGACAAUCUAAAUCACUUUACUUAACUAUUUAAAGUUUUAUCUAAACAAAUUUAGAGACCAAAAAUAUUCUAAAAUUUAUCAAGGAGUAAAGACUAAAAACCAUUUAUAAGGAUUAAAUGUAAAAUUCGAUCAUUUAUCUAAAUAUCAAAAAAUAUAUUUAAAUAUUUAAUUAAUUAUUACAAUUUAUAUCCAAUAUAAAAAUCCAAUGCAUCCCUCGCGAAAAAAGUUAGUAUGAUCAUAUUAUAUUGCGUGAGUUUGUUUAACUUAAAAAACAUAACUUUAAAAUUAAUAUUUAAAUUUUUGUAAAGAAGCAAAUAGAUUUUCUUCUUAAUAAGCAUAAUUUUUAUUUAAAUUAAAAAUAGUUUAAACAAAUACAAUAGGAAAUAAAAAAAAACUGUUUAUUUUAUUAAAAUAAAUAUUUUUUAAACAUAUAAGUUUAAACAAACCAGUCCAUUACAAUAUUCAAUAAUUAAAUUAUUGAAAAUAUUUCAUAUAUAUUAAUUAGACUUUCAUCUUGUAACCAGCGCGUUAAUUAUCGUCAAUGGACUAUUGAGAUAAAAUUAUAAUGUUGAUUAUAUUGAAAAAUAAUUCCAAAAAGUAUCAACAAUAUGUGAGUUUUAUUCUUGUUUGGUAGAAAAACAACAAGAAAGAUAUAGUAUGAAUAUAAGAUUUGAUGUGUAGAAAAAGUUGCAUUGUUUAUUUUUCGUGUGUUUGGCAACCAUUGUAGACUUUGGAUCAGAGACUGCAUUCUAAUUGAGCUGCAGAAUAGCCACUCAGCUGGUAAUGUUGACAUUAACCUUAUUUUCUUUCUAGAAAAAGACACCAACCUUAUUUAACUAUUUAGGUUUUGUACUUUGUGAGCAAUGUUCAAACAAAAAGUCUUCGAUCCAUAACAAGAGUUUGUAAUUUGUGUUACUUUGCGUCUAUAUUCACUAGCAAUAAGCAAAAUUUGAAAAGCGAGUACAUUGUUGCCUAACCAAUUAAUUAAGGCAUUAUCAACCGAGAAAUCCUAAAAAUACAAUUUUUUAAUACACUUUAUUUAACUGAUUGAAACAUAUUAAAAAUGACAUUUUGUUGAUCUUACAUCAUACUUAAUAUUUGUCUUUCUAUUUUUAUAAUUUUUAAUAAAUUUUAACUAAUUUAAAAAUAUAUUUAAAAGAGAUUAUCAGAAAAUGUAAUUGAUCCUAACAAUCCUCUUACUCACUUUAUUCGAAAAAUGAGCCAUGAAUUUUGAGAAGUUUAAUUGGGUACUGUUGUGGAGUGUUGAUUGAAUACCCCAUCAUUGCAACUUAGGGUACUGAUUAGUUAUGUUCCCACUCAAAUCUCUGCCCUUGAAUUAAUUAUAUAUGCUACACUUUUGUAUAGGGUCUGGCUGCACAAAAGCGAGAGAAGAGAAAGAGAGAAAGCAACAGCUAGCUGAACUUGGAAAAAGAAGAAACGUCUGGCUGCUAUUGCCAUGGAAUGCACCUAAUUAUGUAACUGAAUGCAUAUUUGAGUUUAGGAUAUAUAUAUAUAUGCGCGCGCGCGUUCUUAGUGCUUCCAAGUAUUAUUGUUUAUCUGUCAUAUGAAGAUAAAAAAUAAGUGUCUGGGAAGAAUAUAUAAUAUGCAGGCCAUCUCCCAGCCAUCUACAAUAUUUUAUCUAUCAUUAAAGUUUUAUGGCUAUUGGCUUAAUAGUGCUAGAGAAUUAUUAAAUUGUAUGCAGUAACAUACAACAAGUCUUUUUGAUCUUCCUCUUCUCUUUUUCCUUAGACUAAAAAUUGUAUUUCAUUUUUCUUAAAUGAAUAUUAACCGUUUUAAAAACUAUUAGAAUUCACAUUUUAAAAUAUAACGGUUCGUUAGCACUUAAUGAAGUCAAGUUAAUAGUAGAAACCAAAAAUAAAAUUUAAAAUUUAUCAGAGAUGAAGAUAAAAAAAAUUAAUAAAGACCAAAAAUAAAAUUCGAUAAUUUAAAAUAGAUAAAAAUAUAUAUUUAAGUCUUUAUAUUUAUAGAAUGGUUAGGCUACUCUAGCUCCCAAACUAUCUAAGAUCCUGCUAGUUAUAUGAUCACGAUCAACACUUCAAUAAAGUGCUCCUUUGUGUUAAGUAUUUCUUUGGCACAAUGUUUUAAUAAAAUCUAGAGUUUCUAAAUUGCAAUGAUCAAAAUAAAUUAAGAUGGCAAUGCAAGCAACAGUUUGGUUUGCAGUGCUUUAAUUUAGGCAAUAAAGAGAGCUCAAAAUUCUCUUGUAUUCUCACAAACAUAAGAGAGGAGUUUGAUCAAAUUGAUGAAAUAAACAAGAUAUAUUCUUUGUAUUAGAUUAAUACUAUAUUUGGUUUUGAGUUUUGACUAUUUAUUCUCGUGUUGGUCUGUAAGCCCAAAAGAGUGGCUAGAUAUUAAGUAAUGUGUUGUAAUGGCAUCUGGAGUGCGGUUAUAAUGUUUUUAUAUUGGGCAACAAUGAUUUGCCUUUUUUGGUGAUUUUAUUUUCAUCUUUCAUGGAGAAUUAUGAUUUGAGAUGGGGCAAUUAGAUGGAGAAUUUUCAAUCCCAUAUGGUAAUGUACGUAGCUCAAAGCCAAGUUCGAAUUGGUCAACUAAGAUGGAAGGGUGUCAGAUGAAUAAUUUGGAGAAGGAGGGCCUGUUGUAUUGAUCUUAAGAGAAAUUUCAAAAGGCAAAGGCCUACAUUAUCUAAAAUAAUUUUGUUGCAUUAAUUUAUAUACUAACUUGUGAUAUUUACCUUUUAAGUAACUAAUAAGAGAUGAAAAUCUCACAUACAUAAACUUGGAUCAUGUGAACUUGUCUUAGUGCAAGGUGAAUUUUAGGUGCUUAUAUAUAAUAUGAUAUAUGAAGUCGUUAAUCCUUCGCUUUCCACUUUCUCUGUCUUACGAUGAUUCUCACCCUGACUUUCUUUCUCUCAAUAUACUACUACUAAUUUCUUUUUUUCGGCUAAUGAAUUAUUCAGUAAGGAUCUAAAAUGUAGUUUAACAUACUCUCUGGGAAUAGUUUUUUUUUUUUUUUGUUAGACACAGUCUCGGUAGUUUUCAUGUAGAUACGCUUUGUUUUUUUCUUAGUAUUUUUUAUACAGCUGUAAUAGUUUGUAAAUAAGUAGUGAAUAAUGUGUUGAUAAUCAACCAUCAUUUCGUUAAUACAUUAUUAAUUUAACCGUUUACUAAUGUAGAGCAUGUCAUUUUAAUUCCACAUUUGCAUUUCUUGCAUAUCGUUAUACUCGUGGCGGGUACGUAUACCGGAAUAUGUAGAAAUUUUAAAUGGGAAUUUCAAAGUAGAAAAAAAAUCAUGGUAUUUAUUUAUUAUAUAGUAAUAUAACUGGAGUAACAAGACAUGGAUCAGAUCUGAACAGUGCCUUAAAACUUUGAAUAUAUAAAGUACAAAAUAAAAAUAAUAAAGGGAAACCAAAUAAACACUACUGCUUUCACAAGUUCCACUCUUCACUGUAUAAACUGCAUGGUGCUUCUUCCCUCUCCUUUAUUUGCACAAGUUCUUCAGAUCCUAAAAAAUUACACGCAUGCACGUAAAUUAUUAGUUUGCCAUAACAUGUAAUAAAUUGAUACUGUUAUCUAGUACAAAGUAACGAAGAAGAUUUCAUAAUGCAUAUAUGAAUGCAUCCUAAAAUUAGCAAGAUUUUUUUUCCCUACACCCGUGUGCAUAUAUACUGUUAGAUAUGGAAAUUGAGAAACAAGAAAGUAAGGAAUAGAUCAUAAAGUAAUAAAUAUAAGAGGAAAGAAAGACAAAGGUUAAAAAAAAGUAUAAGAUAAAUGUAAAAUUUAGAAUAUAAAAAAACUAAUUAGGAUUCUUAUUAGAUCUUCUUAGCAGAACAAUAUUUAAGUAUCGAUUUAUAAGUCUCACUUUGACUUUGUAUAUGCUAUUUUUACACUUCUACAAAAGAGGGAGGAAGAGAAAAAACAAAAUGUGAGUUUUUCUUUUUUUGGAAUAAAAAAUAAAUGUACAAGGAAGGGUGAAGUUGUAACAGUGGGAAUUAUAUUUAUAACAUUAUAAUUUCAAUAAAUAAACAAAUGUUUUAUAUCAUAAUAGGAAACUUUGCUGGAUUUUAAAUUUUAAAUUAUAGUAGUAGUUAACUACAAUUACGAUUACAGUAUAUUAAUAUUCUAGAAUUUUAUGUAAUUGCAAUUUAAAACCUUGAUUGAAAUAAUUAAAAUGGACAAUAUAUAGAUUUUAUAUGAAGCUUACCAUGGGGCGCUAUACUAAAAUCACUAUCUAGUAGUGGUAUGGGGGAGGUGGUGAUGCAUAGACAUAGUGUGGAGGAGGUGGAGAUGGAUACUUGUAUGGUUUCUUAGGUGGUGGUGGAGGUGACUUGUAGUAGUAAGCUGGGGGUGGUGGAGAAGGGUACUUGUAUGGUGGAGGUGGAGGAGAAGAGUACUUGUAUGGAGGAGGAGGGGACUUGUACUUGUAUACUGGGGGUGGAGGAGAUGGGUAUUUGUAGGGUUUCUUAGGAGGUGGUGGAGGAGAAGGGUACUUGUAGGGUGGGGGUGGUGACUUGUAUUUGUAAACUGGUGGUGGUGGUGAUGGGUAUUUGUAGGGCUUCUUAGGUGGUGGUGGUGGGGACUUGUACUUGUAAACUGGUGGUGGUGGUGACUUGUAUUUGUAAACUGGAGGUGGGGGUGAUGGGUAUUUGUAGGGCUUUUUAGGUGGUGGUGGAGGAGAAGGGUACUUGUAGGGUGGUGGUGGUGACUUGUAUUUGUAAACUGGUGGUGGUGGUGAUGGGUAUUUGUAAGGCUUCUUAGGAGGUGGUGGAGGAGAUGAAUACUUGUAGGGUGGUGGUGGGGACUUGUACUUGUAAACUGGUGGUGGUGGAGAUGAAUAGUCGUACUUGUCAGCUGAGGCUUGAGAUGACAAGCUUAGAGAAACUAUUGCCAAUACAAGAGUGAGAGUAAGAGAGGCCAUUAGAGACCCCAUUUUCUCCCAACUUCAAAUAGGGUUU